rnacentral:lncRNA from 1 species
CAAAUGAACCAAUGGAAAUAUAGUUUUCCCUUCCCAUUAUUGGAUCAACCUUUCAUCUCUCUAAUUGAAGUUACUGUCUCUCUUCUUUUUUCAGAUCUCCCACAUGCGGCAACAUCAUGUCUGACAUCGAACAAAGAUGCGCUGUUUGCUUUAGCUUUAAGUUCUGGUACCAUCAUGUUGGUUCGUUUAGAUCCUCUAUCUGGCAUAGGCACUUGUUCCGAAUUGCGUCAAGACUCUGCAGUUCCUAGAUUUUUAUCAAACUUCAUGGGCAAAACAGUGGAUGACUAUGUCAGCUUGAUCGUCCAUCCAUCAGCUUCAGAUGUGUUUCUUUUUGCACUAACCGGAGACGGACAGGUUAGAGUAUGGUCUUGCGAUCGUGGUGUGAGCCUCAAAAUACCAGACAAUAUCACUAAAUCUACCACGCCUUUAGUUCAAGGAGCUUAUAGUCAUAUCAUGCGGAAGGCAGUGAAUACGAAUAACCUCAUUUAG